rnacentral:rRNA from 1 species
GACGAACGCUGGCGGCGUGCUUAACACAUGCAAGUCGAACGGAAAGGCCCUGCUUUUGUGGGGUGCUCGAGUGGCGAACGGGUGAGUAACACGUGAGUAACCUGCCCUUGACUUUGGGAUAACUUCAGGAAACUGGGGCUAAUACCGGAUAGGAGCUCCUGCUGCAUGGUGGGGGUUGGAAAGUUUCGGCGGUUGGGGCUGGACUCGCGGCUUAUCAGCUUGUUGGUGGGGUAGUGGCUUACCAAGGCUUUGGCGGGUAGCCGGCCUGCGAGGGUGACCGGCCACAUUGGGACUGCGAUACGGCCCAGACUCCUACGGGAGGCAGCAGUGGGGAAUAUUGCACAAUGGGCGGAAGCCUGAUGCAGCAACGCCGCGUGCGGGAUGACGGCCUUCGGGUUGUAAACCGCUUUCGCCUGUGACGAAGCGUGAGUGACGGUAAUGGGUAAAGAAGCACCGGCUAACUACGUG